AAGAAAGAAACUGGAAUGGCUAUUGCCAAAAUACAAGAAAACUAGAGACCCUUGAAACUAGACUAGAAGCAAGAAAGGAGUUGACAAGAGUGAAGAGGGCUUCACUCUUGCCUCUAUAUAUACUAUCUAACUAGAAGCCACGCGGCGAUGUUCUAUAAGACCUCCAAUAUAUGUUGACUUUCUAGGCCACAUGCCUUUGCUUGCAAGGCAAGUUUUCUAUGGAUGGACCACGUAGUUAGCUUGUUCUUUAAGCUUCCAACAUGCGUGGCACAUGGCUAACUUGUUGACCAAGUUUCUAACCUAAAAGUCAACUAUAGACUCCUAUAAAGUCAAAGCAGCGUCUAUGAAGCUUCUAAGAAGCUUCUCUAGAAGAUAUUACACAAUUAACCUACUUUUACAUACUUUUAUCUAUUCAUAUAGGUAAUUAUAUGUAUGUCCGUGACAUUACCCCUCCUUCUAGGGACGAGUUCCACGAGGAGCGGUGAUUAUAUAUUGAGAAAAUCUAAUAUGCGGCGAAUUGUAUUUGCUACAUACUCUGAUCUUUGUUCUCUUCGAAGAUAGUUGAUGGGUCCUCUUAGCCAUCGAUAGUGUCCCAUUCCAGGGCGAGAAGACCACCCUGUUAUUUGAUCACUGUUGAGGCCUUCAUAACUUCCUUCAAAUAAUACAUUUGAAACACCAUCAGGAGUCGUUCCUAUCUCCAAUAAUAUCACCAAACAUCGAGAAUCUCUUCCAAGGUCGUGAUACCAAACGCGUUGUAUCUCACCAUCUAUUCGAGGAAGAACAUGUUGUUCUUGAGGGUCUUCAUUUCGAUUGCGUCGUCUUGAAGGUUGUGACAAUCGCAAUGUCUCAUCCGGUAAGUCAACAAACGAAGGUUCUUGAGUUGAAUCCGCUGGUUGUUGGAUCUCCAUCUAAUUAGCGUCACAAAAUGCAAAGAAGUUACAAACAAGGAUAGGAAAUUGAAUGUUAUCUUGCCUCAAUCUUGUCUCUUUUAUAAGAGAGGUUUUCAUCUUGGUUUUGAUGGAUGUCGUUGAUGAAAAACUUUGACUUUAGCUGAUGCAUUUGCUAGAUUCCUGGAUGGCUCUCAUGUGCGCUCACUAAUAUCAUAUUCGCACCAAUGAACAAGAUAUUCCAGCUUAUUUCGGCGCCGCCUUGAGUCUAAUAUCUCUUCCACCUCAAAUUCUUCAUUAUUAUCUACUUCUAUAGGAGGCGGUGGCAUUUGUCUUCUUCCUUGUAUAUCCACUGUCUUAUAUGGUUCAAGAAGAGACACGUGGAAUACAGGAUGGAUCUUCAUUGACUCCGGUAGAUGUAACCGAUAUGCAACUGGGUUGAUCUGUUCAGAAACAGAAAAGGGGCCAAGCCUACGAUAGUCCAAUUUGUCACAAGGUCGAGUGGUCUUGAUAUUGCGACGAAGUAGCCAUACCUUAUCACCCACGUUGAGUUGUGGUUGCUCUUUACGAUAUACAUCUGCAUUUAUCUUUUGUCGUUCUUGAGCUUUCUUCAACUGCGCCUUCAUUAUUGCAUGUAACUCUGACAACCGAUUUGCCAUAUCUUCUGCUGCAGGAUUAUCAACUUUUGAAAAAUCAAAAGUAUCAAGUCGUGGAUGAUAGCCAUAAUUGGCAAAGAAAGGUGUUUGUUGCGUGGAGGAAUGUACCGUAUUAUUAUAAGCAAACUCUGUCAAUGGCAGAAGGUUUGUCCAAUCAUCUUGUUGGUAGUUGAUGGUACACCUUAAAUACUGUUCCAAGACUUGGUUUACGCGCUCUGUUUGUCCAUCAAUUUGAGGAUGGAAAGCUGAAGAUAGCUUUAUGUCCACUUUUAAAAUCUUGAAAAGAGUCCUCCAGAAUCUCGACACAAAUUGAGUUCCCCUAUCCGAUAUGAUAUCUUUAGGUAAUCCAUGAUAGCGAUAGAUAUUAUCAAUGAAAAGCUUAGUUGUUUCUUCACCUGUGAUAGAUUUUGUACAUGGCAUAAAAUGUGCCAUCUUGGUGAAACGAUCUACUAUCACAAAUAUAGAAUCAUAAGAUCUUGAGUUUGGAAGAUCUGUGAUGAAAUCCAUAGAAACAGAAGACCAUGGUUGUUCUGGUAUAGGUAAUGGCUGAAGAAGUCCGUAAGGUCGAUGUCGAGGAAUUUUUGAUCUUGAACAAAUAUCACAUGAUUGUACAAAGUCUUUGACUGACUUCCACAUUUGUGGCCACCAAAAAUCUCUUGAUAUGAGUUCCAAAGUCUUAUUAUAUCCAAAGUGCCCUGCUGCUGGAAAGUCAUGACGUGCUUGAAGAACACGCAAACGUGCUUUUCCUUCUGGAACAUAUAGGCGUCCUUCAAAAUAUAAUAGAUUAUUCUUGAACUCAAACUUAGAAGAAUCAUGAGACUUGGAAGAAUUAUUCUCGAUAUCAUAAACAAGAGGGUCUGAGGACAUACUGGACUGGAUUUGCUUGAGAAAAGUUGAAUCAACAGUCAGUGUUGAUUUCACUUCUCGGAGAUGAAAUUGCUCCGGUUUCAAGAGGACCGUUCUUUGUUGCUCAAAAGCUGCAUCUCCUUCUUUUGGUGCAAAAUAAGAACGUCUAGACAGGGCAUCGGACAAACCUUGUUGUUUUCCUGGCCGAUAAGUGAUAAUGAAGUCGAAUCUUGACAAAGACAUACUCCAACGAGCUUGACGACGAUUCAACACGCGUGCUGACAUGAAAUACUCGAGGUUCUUGUGAUCUGUAUACACAGUGACUGGACUAGAAGCACCUUCUAGAUAAUGAAGCCAUUCUUGAAAGGAAUCCACGAUUGCAAGAAGUUCUUUAUCGUGGAUCUCAUAAUUGAUCUCGGCUGCUGAGAAUUUUCUUGAAUGAAAAGCUAUCGGAUGAAGUUUGUCAUCUGUUCCCAUUUGUGAUAAAACUACACCCAAGGCAAAAUCCGAUGCGUCUGUUUCCAUAAAAAAUGCCUUGGAAAAAUCAACACGAUAUAAGACUGGUGCAGAGACAAACGAUGUCUUCAAGGCUUCAAAUGCUGCUUCCGCUUCUUGAUUCCAUUGGAAUUUAUCUUUACUAGUCAAGCGUGUAAGUGGAGCUGCAACUCGUGAGAAAUCUUUGAUGAAGAUCCGAUAGUAAUUGGCAAAUCCCAAGAAACAUUGGACAUCUCUCACAGUCUUUGGAAUCUUCCAAUCCAUGAUUAUUUGGACUUUCUUAGAAUCCAUCAUAAGACCAUCAUUUGAAAUGAUGUAUCCUAAAAAGUCAACUUGAGUAGUGUGAAAUACACACUUUUUCAUCUUGGCGUACAAUCCUGCAUCUCUAAGUUUUUGCAAUACUUGACGAACAUGUAUUUCAUGUUCUUCAACAUUCUUAGAAUAAAUCAGGAUAUCGUCUAGGUAGCAGACGACAAAAUUGUCUAAGAAUUCACGAAAUACAUCAUUCAUGAGAUGUUGAAAAGCAGCUGGUGCAUUCGUGAGUCCAAAAGGCAUGACAUUGUAUUCAAAGUGUCCGUACCUGGUUCGAAACGCAGUCUUCCAUUCAUCUCCUUCUUAGAUCCGUACUAGAUUAUAUGCUCCUCUUAGAUCUAUUUUUGUAUAGAUCUUAGCUUGAUUUAACUGGUCAAGGAGUCCUGAUAUCAAAGGUAAUGGAUACCUAUUCUUGAUUGUGAUCUUGUUGAGUCCUCGAUAGUCAACACACAUUCGUAAAGAUCCAUCUUUUUUCUUUACGAAUAAAAUUGGAGCUCCUGCUGGAGAUUUUGAAUGGCAUAUGAAAUUCUUCGCUAAAUUCUCGUCAAUAUAUGUCUUGAGUUCAGCCAACUCAUCUUGCGAUAAACUGUAAAUUGGUCCAAAUGGUGGCUGAGUUCCUUCCUUGAGAUCGAUUGAACAAUCGUAUGGGCGAUGCUCAGGAAGAAUAUCUGCAUUCUUUUUCUCAAAAACGUCUUGAUAAUCUUGAUAUUGACUUGGAAUGCCACUUGAAGUCUUUACGCUUUCAGAAAUAGGUGCAACAUAAAUAGCAAAAGUUGAUCCUUCUUUUGCUGCGUGUAUAAAUGCUUUUGCACCUAUAAGUGCGGGUUUUACUAUACUAGACUCAUGGUUUUUUACUUGAUUAAUAGAACUGUUACUAAUGCUCCGAGGAAAAUCAAGUUUACGAGAAAUCCAAUCUAUUCGAGGAUUAUACUUUUCUAACCAUGAUAAGCCUAAAAUUAUUGGAUUAGAGGGAGAUCUAAUUAUAUUAAAAAUUACGCAACUACUAUGACCAUUUAUUACUACAUCUACAGGAAGUGUUUCGUGAGUUACAUCUCCAGAAGACAACGGACGACCAUCUAUGACUUCUACGUGUACAGGUUUAGUUUUUUGUAUUAAUGAUAUUCUAUGACAUCUAGCAAAUUCUUCAUCUAAAAAACAAGAUGAGGCUCCUGAAUCUAUCAAGGCAGAGGCUUUGUAAUUAUUAGGUCCUAAACGCACAUCUAUUAUAAAACAAGGAGAUGGUUCUGAGGAGAGGAUAGGACCUUCAUUAGAAGUUGUACAAGAUUCCAGCCGCACGGUCCCUAUUGUAGCUGGACGUACUCGUUUUCCGACAUACUGUCUUCUUUGACAGCCGUACUCUUCAUUUUGUAGUUACGUCGCUUCUUUGGACAAUGUUGAGCAGUGUGCUUAGGUUCUCCACAAUAUAAGCACAAUCCUUCUUGUCGACGACGAGACUUUUCUUGCUCAGUAAGAGGUUUCAAACGUACCGCAUCAAUUUGCAUAUCCUCUACUUCUGAAGGUAUGUGUUGAGGAGACGUCGGUGUUGCCAUUGAAUUGUAGUAACGUUGAGGCCUACUUGUGUGACUCUCGGAUCGAAAUUCAAAAAGUCGAUUGUCGCACUUCACAGCAAAGUCAAUUGCUUGACUCAAUGUUUGAGGAUCAGGUAAAUUAAGCAUCAAUUUCUUUACCUCAUAUUGUAAUCCGUAGAGAAAUUGACUCACAAGUGCGGCAUCAUCCCACUUGAUAUCAGUUGCAAGUUGUCGAAAUUGCGAAGCAUAUAAUGUUACUGAUCGAUUGCCUUGUUGCAAAAUACGGAUCUUGUUGGUUGCAACACGAAUUGCAUCAUGUUCUCCAAACAUGGAUCGAAACUCCGCCAAAAAAGCCUCCAGAUUAUCCAAUAUUGGAUCUCGUCGUUCAAGAAAAGAUGAAAACCAUGACAAUGCUGAACCUGAAAGAAGUGUACCAAUGAAUCUAACUUGUGACCCUGGAGUUGGAUAGCUAUGGGGUUGAAGUUCAAUCACUAAUUGGACCUGAUUGAUGAAUCCUCGAAACUUGGAUCUGGUACCAUCAAACUUCUCGGGCAAGGCCACUCUCGGUUCUCUAACACUCGAAGGGUGUUCCAUUCUGGGAGAAGGGACAUGGUUUGGUGCAGAUGUUGAAGCAGCCCCAAUCAUCUCUAUAUCUUCACUUCCUACCAUUCUUGUUGCUCCUUGUGGUGGUAAAUUGAGUUGAUGCAUCGCAAGCAUUAACUCCCUCAAUUGUUCUUGCAUCUGUGCCAUUGCACUCUUCAUUUCAACAAGCUCUGCCAUAGUAGCACUUAAAAAAGAGAAGAUGUCUAAUAACGCUCAAAACAAAUAGAAGAGAGGAAUUGAUAACAAAGAAAAUACUAAGAACAAUAUCAGUUUAAAAGAGGGUAAUCCGCAACUUCUAAUGCGCUUAUGUCUUAUCAAGAAAAAGGGGUAAUCCACUCUUAAUCAAGAAAAGACAAAGCUCUCAUAUUGUAAGUGUACUCUUGUCAAUCUGUCAAGGACAAGAACUCGAUGAAAGCUAAAGAGUAAGUGAGACUUUUUUCAAAGAAAUAGGACAAAAUAGAAAUAUGUAUAUUAAGAAAGAAAUUAGAAUGGCUAUUGCCAAAAUACAAGAAAACUAGAGACCCUUGAAACUAGACUAGAAGCAAGAAAGGAGUUGACAAGAGUGAAGAGGGCUUCACUCUUGCCUCUAUAUAUACUAUCUAACUAGGGGCUACGUGGUGACGUUCUAUAGGACCUCCAAUAUGUGUUGACUUUGUACGACACAUGCCUUGACUUACAAGGCAAGUUUUCUAUGGAUGGACCACGUAGUUAGCUUAUUCUUUAAGCUUCCAACAUGUGUGGCACAUGGCUAACUUGUUGACCAAGUUUCUAGCCUAAAAGUCAACUAUAGACUCCUAUAAAGUCAAAGCAGCGUCUAUGAAGCUUCUAAGAAGCUUCUCUAGAAGAUAUUACACAAUUAACCUACUUUUAUCUACUUUUACAUACUUUUAUCUAUUCAUAUAGGUAAUUAU
rnacentral:lncRNA from 1 species